AUGGGUUGUAGACACGAGGCUGUGGCUUCAAAAAAGCUUCCAUUAUUGUCAUGGUAUAUACGGAAACAUAGAAAAGGUUAAAAAGUUUCAACAAUUCAGAAAAAGAAAAAAAAAAGAAUUAUAUUAAAAGGUUCAACUCUUUUUGUUGUCCUAUUUGGCACAUAAAGAAAAAACAAGAAAAAAGAAAAGAAAAGAAAAGAACAUUUGAGAAAAAAAGUUUUGAAAAGAAAGACGCAGCGACCGCGUAGUGUUAAAAGUCCAAAUUGAGUGGUGGGCCCAACUUCAAUAGAAACCAUAGAUCUAUGGUGGGCCUAAAUUUUGGAAAAAGAGUCUCACGUCAUAAUGUCAAAAGCCCACAUAAAAUGGUGGUGGGGGACUAGGGAGAGAUGUGAUAUAAUGACCUGCGGUUACUUUCUGCCUUUAGAUUUUGAUGGUUACCAUAGUUUCCUGGUGGGCCACGUGGAAAAUUCCAAUAAUAGAAUCUACCACGUGUUUCUCUAUUCCUUUUCAGCUGAGUUAGACCCUUGUGUUUUUGGCUUUUUGCUGCGGUCCGGCAAAAAAGAAUCACAUUCAAUUUUGGCCAAUUUGCAUAAUAACCUCCCGAGAUUCUACAAAUUACAAUUAAAAUCCUUGUUGUUUUGGUUCUUCCUCAUUAGUUUUCUAGAAGAGUGAUGUUAGUUCUGAUACUAACAAAUUUUACUAAAAUAAGCUUUACAAAUUUAGGUAUUAUAAUAAAAAGAAAAAAAAAAGUAAUUUAGAACAUUCAAAAUAUAUAUGUAUAUUUAUAUUUGGUUGAAAUUCGCCAAUUAUAUUUAUUAUUACGUUAGUUGUAAAUCUUAUGUGGCAAAAUUUGUAGCAAUUUUAGUGUUUUUUUUUUCUCCAUAAUAAUAACAAAUGACGUAUACAAUGUCAAAAAAGCAACUUUUUUUUAAUAAUUUUUUUAUAAAAGUUUCUUAAAAUAGUUUACUAAUUAGUGUAUGUUUGGAUUGCAUUGAAAACAGCAGACGUGCUCGUCUGCAUUUUUUUGUGUGGGUUCUGUGCAUUGUUCACGGGACCCACAAGUAUGGAUUUCAAUAAAUUUUUCUUUAAAAUUGGAUCUCACGGCACUAUUUACAUAUUUAAAAAUUAUUUUGCCAUUAUUUUCAGUAAUAAGUGGUAUCCAAACAGAUCUUUAGUAGUAAAAACCUAAAUAAAAAUAGGAAUAAAAAUUAUAUGAGAUAGAAAAAAAAAUGUCAAUAAUUGAUCUUUUAAGUUUUAACUACAUGACUUUUAAAUACAUAUACGUAUAUAUAAGGUGGUUCAGUGGUUGUGCUUUUUAUAUUUAUACAUUGUAAUUAAUCUUGCUUUGAUCUUUGUUUGUGGUGACAUAAGUCCCUUCCUACACCUUUGAAUUCUUCUUUAUUCUGAUUUCUUAUAAAUUGAUCCUGACUCCUUGUUUACUAUAACUGGUUUAUGUAAUUAAUUAAGGUUGUGAGUUUUUUUUAAUGUAAUUAAUGGAAUUACUCUGAGGAAGGAUUAAUACUUUGCCUUCACUACUAUGGACUAAGUUGUGUUUUACUGUAAAUUUUUUUUUUCAGAUAUGUAAUUGUAUACUUCUCCAUAUUGUAUCUCCGAUAUCGUGCUGGCAUUGUUACAGAUGAGAUGCUUUCCUUGCCAAAAGCUCCAUUCCUUGCUGUUGGUCUCUUGGAAGCUCUUGGUGCUGCUACUGGAAUGGCGGCUGGAGGUAAUGCUCAUUUCAUUAUGCUUUUAUUAGCUUCAUGGGAUUAUAUCUACAGACAUUCUUGGUUGCUAAAUUCUAAAUGUUUUGCUCUAUAUGAUUCUUAUAGUACUGUCUUUCCAUCAAACAUUCUGGUUGCUUGAGAAUUAGAAAUUCAAAAAAAGAAAAACACAUCCUGGUUAGUUAUUUGAUAAAUCCUGCACAUCAAGAAGCCAUUACCAUACUCGACAUAAGAUGGGUAGAUUAUAGAAGCUAUGUAAGGCUCUUUUUUGCGUGAGGCCAAGUUUUGUAACCAAAAAGUCUGUCAAGGGGAAGGCCAUAGCAAAGCACCUUGCUCAACAUCCUAUUAAGAAGGAACAGGAGUUUAAGGAUUCUUUUAUAUGAGAGGUUGUUGUCACCGUAGAAGAGGGCAGGACAAGGAAAUUUUUACUUUGACUGUGCACAAUGUUCUAUCAAAUUUACCCAACUUUGGGAGUUCAACGUAGUUGGUGAAGAAACAACUGCUCUAGUGUAGGCUUUGAAAAUUAAUUUACUCCAAAUUUCCUAUAUUCAUAUAUUAUCCAUUGCUUGAAGAUAUUAUAUAUGGAUUUUUUUCAUUGUCAAUUAAGCAUCAGUCCAUGCACAUUGCUUUUGUCUUAACAUUUAAAUUUCUAUUUAUUUGCUGAUUGCAUAAUGAAAUCCUUAUCUACUGCUGAAUCGGGGGCCUCAUCUUUGUGGGCUUGUGGUUCUCUCUAUAGUGCUUCUUGUUCGUUUAGUUUUCUUAUAUUUUACUUUUUGUUUAAGUACUUAUGAUAGGGAUUCAAUUCAAAGGAUGCAUGUAAAUUUAUCUUCGACAGCUAUCUAUUACUUCUUGGUUUUUGCCAAGAUAAUCAAGUUGUGUUAUGCUUUUAUUCCACAUACAAUAGUCAUUAAAAUAUCAUAUAUUUUAUUUCUUGUCCUUCUUUGGAUCAGCAAUUCUUUCUGGAGCAUCAAUCCCAAUUUUGUCUCAGGUAAGAGGCACUAAUGAUAACUUUCUUAAUUUUGUUUUAUAUAUUUUUUGACAAGUAAAAAAUUUUAUUCAAGUAGAAGAAAUAAUUCAUGCACACAUGACACAUCGUAUCUAUAAUAAUUAUUAAAUAUAUUGAUGAAUUGGUGAGUUCUCUAGUCGUAGUGUUGUGUUAAAACACAUUGUUUUGAAUCUGAAUGGCUAAAGCUUGCACUUUGUGGUUUAACAAGUGAUCCAGCCAGAUGGAUUGCAUGACAGAAAUAUAAUUGAUCAUUUUGUGUCUCUAAUAGGGACAAUAUAUACAUGGAAAAGAAAAAUGGAAGUAAAAAUUUAUACCUUAAAAUUACUUUAAUGUAUAUAAGUGAAUACAAGCACUAAUAUAGUGCAUACCAUAUAUGUUUAAUAGUUUUUAUAUGCUACCAGGUUGCAUAAUUAAUCAUUCAGCAGUUCAGGAACCCAGUAUCCACUGAAUUCUGGUGGCGAAGUUUUUCUCUGGAAUACCCAGUUGGGUUGUUCUGUGUUUUGAAGCCCUACAUAAAAAUAAUAUAAAGAAUGGUGGUGAUGGGCACAAGCAUAGUGUAACUGAAAAUCUAUCUGGAGUGGAUUGGCUCAAAAUGUAGAAUGCAAUAACGCUUUUGCUCUGGUUCCAUAUUUAUUUAUGCAAAAUCUAGUAUUCAUAUUCCCAAUAGCUCAUGCAGGCUUGAGACCAACCAACAAUGUUUCCUUUUCAAAACGUAGCACUGAACUUGAAUAAUCAAAAUUAUCCUGAAUUAUUUUGCAGACCUUUCUUGUGUGGCAAAUUAUUCUGUCAACUGCUUUUCUUGGAAGGAGAUAUAGAGUCAACCAACUACUUGGAUGCUUUCUUGUAGCCAUUGGUGUAAUCAUAACAGUGGCAAGGUAAGCCAUAUAUAUAUAUAUAUAUAUAUCUUCAAUUAAGAUUAUUGUCUCAUGUUGAUGCUCAUCUAUUAGCUAUAGAUGAUCAUAAAGUUUGAGAGUAUAGGUUUAAGAAAAAAGACCUUGAGGCAGUAAUAUAAAGUGGGCAAGCUCUCAAGUUUAUUGUCUGUCUCAUUCAUGAUUCAUGGGAUUGUCAUCUAAUAACAUGCAACACAUCUUAGGUCCUAUUGGACCAAGAUAUGGGCGAGAUAUGCUGAGAGACUAUGGUAUAAAGCGUUUCAGACUCUAAAACUGGUUAGCAUUGUUAAUAACAAUGGUUCUACAUCUUCAUCUAUUGACGCAGGUUGAAACUAAAACUUGAUGCAGGAUGGAAAUUGAAGUACAAAACAAUAAAAUUAACAUAAGAGUUAGCACCUAAUGUUGCCAGGAGAUAGAGCCAAGUGAGAUAGAAAAUGUAGGGGUAAGCAUCAAGUAGGAGAGAACAAAUAUAGAAGUCAGCACCUAAGGUUGGCUGGAGUUAGACAAUUGGAAAACUCCAAGAGAAACAUUAUUAAUUAAUAUUGUUAUCCAUCAUCUCUAUAGGAGUACAAUACUAUGCUUAUAUAGGCUACCUAGGACUAAAAGCUAAGUUUAAUUCUAAUUGGCUUAGGAAAUCUUAUUAUAAAUGUCUUGGAAAAUCCCAAUUAUAAUUACAAAAAUAACCUAGACUUUAGGAAAUCAUAUAAAGUACUAAUUACCUAAUUAACUUCUAAGACCUAAAAUAAAAUAUAAUCAACCAGUAAAAAGAUAAUUGACUCCAAAAAUUAAAUAAAAAUAAAUUAGAAUAUAAUUUCCUUCACGGUUCCCACAUCAUCUUUGCCAUUGGAUCAGAUGAUUGAAACAUUUUCUAAAUAAUUUUUCUAAACUCCUUUCAAAAGUUUGAAAUGAACUGAAGCAAAGGGGCUGGUUGUGUCUUAUUAAUAAUUCCAUUGCCCUUAUUACAGUAAAUCCUUUAUUGGUGAAUGGUGACUAAGAAGAAAUCUUAGGAAGAAUGCUUGAGCAGAUAAACUAAAUUAGAAUCCAACUUGAAAAUUAAUGGACAUUUUUACUAACUUCAAGUAUACUACAUAUGGUAAUAUUUAGAAUCUUUACAAAGUAAGGUAGUAAACCCCAAACCAAAAUCCAUUUGCUCAUAAUAAUUGUUAUUACAAAUGUCUUACAAUUUUACUUUUUGAUUGCUUGACUCUGUUUACUUCUCAGUGGAUCUAGUGCUGGACAUUCAUUGAAGGAAGCUGGUAUAUUUUGGAGUGUUUUGAUGGUAGUUUCAUUUUUAUUUCAAGCGGCUGAUACGGUGUUAAAGGUUGUUGGCUUUUCUGACUGAUUAUUGAAUUUUCCCAGUUUUCUACCUUGUAAUGUUCUGCAGUAACAGGCAACAUUUUUAUCAUUUGUAGGAAGUAAUCUUUUCAGAUGCUGCCCAACGUUUAAAGGUCUGUAUGGUGGGCUCUUUUAAUCUUAUAUGUUUCUAAAUUGAAAGUAUUUCUAAUUUCCAACUUUUAUAUCAUUUUGAACCAUCAUCAAAUGAUGACAACAUAAUGCAGGGGUAAAAUAUAUUGCAUGACCAAAAGUAACCUUACACAGUCAAGGAAAUAUGAGAUGACUUUUUCAAUUUCUCAGUUAGACAGAAAUGAUUUUUUAUUUUUUUUUCUCAUGCAAGAUUCAGAAGCUACCCAAUAUGUUGGUGAUGUUGUAAUUUUAAACUUUCUGAUAUGUUUGUAAUUAUUAGUUAUUUCUCUAAAAGUUUGGUUAUAUUGAUACAAUUCCGUUUUUCCUGUUAUAGGGAGGUUCAGUAGAUCUAUUUGUUGUAAAUUCCUAUGGAUCUGCCUUCCAAGUAGGUAUCUUAUGGUCAUAUGGGAUCAUUAUCUUUUUUUUUUUUUAAACUAAUUUCAUUGUCAUAACUAAAUGGUAGCCUAAGGAGCUUGGAUCUAUGUUUAGUGCAGGCCUUCUUUAUCUGCCUUCUUUUACCUUUCCUGUCAAAAUUAUGGGGUAUUCCAUUUAGUCAACUGCCAAAUUAUCUUAAAGAUGGUGCUGCUUGCUUUCUGAACAUUGGAACUUUGUCAAGUGGUAAGCUACAUUUUGUUUGCAAAAUUAUCUUCCUAAAUCUAUUAGCAAGCAAAAGAAGGCAGAUAAAUACACCUCAUUUAACACUACCAAUACACUCCCUCUCUUGACAUCUGUUAAGGAAUUAAACAAGAUUGAUAUCUCAAAGCCAAACUAAUGCAAUAUAGAACCUGAGUUAAUUUUGAUGAAGAAAAUAAGGUCUUAUUCAGUGGAUCAUGCUUUUGCUGGGUAUGGGAGAGGUUCUUGGUAGGCAGCCUUACUCCCAAGUUUUGGAGAGGUUGAUUCCCGGACUCAAACUCAUGAACCAUUUCUUGGGAAGGGUAUUUGCCACCACCAAGGUCUGAUCUCUCUCUCCCUCUCUCUUCCCUAGAGUGGAACUUCACCUUUAUAAAGAUGGAAAUCUUAUAGAAGCUCUUUUAAACACCAAACCUUGGUGUUCGCUGAGUUGAAUCUGAAAUUUCUGCUAGACUAUUAGGCUUUUAAAGGUAUGGAGUGGAGUCCUGCUUGUAGCAACAUUGCCGAUUAUAUCUUCUGUACCUGAUAAAAUAAUUCAAUUAACAUUUCUAUUAAAACUAACGUAUAUAAUAUGUCAAAGAAGAAUAGGGAAAUUUGAGAAUAAUACAUAGAUUUGCCUUUACAAAUGCUUGCUAUUUCAAUUGUAAUUUGAAUGCACAAGCAUAGGGAAAUUUGAUAAUUAUACAUUGAUUUGCAUUUGUGGCCAGAAGGGUUGUAAUCCUCUGGGUUUCAGUUAUGGUUUCACCAAGAUAAAUAAAGUAAAUUGAAUCAAGUUCUGUUCCUUUUAUUUCACCCGCAACAGUUAUCUUUCUGCUAUGAUGGAAUUUCAUUUUAAAUGAAGUGAUUCAUUCAGUUACGUUCAAAUUUCUGGCUGCAGGAUGUGAUGGUGCUCCACUGCUACCUUUGCUGUUUAUUGUUGUCAACAUGGGUUUCAACAUAUCAUUGCUGUAUCUGCUCAAGAUCUCUUCUGCUGUAGUUUCUUGCCUUGCUUCCACAUUUUCAGGUAUGUCAUUUGUUUUGUCAAUGCAAGUCUUGUACAAGGUCAGUAAGCUCAACAGUAAUUGCUUCAGAGGGUGCAUUAUCUGAGACCACUAAUGUAGCAUGGUAAAAACAAGAAUUAGACACAAAUGCAUUAUUCAUCUCAAAGUCACCUUGGAGUCAUAAAGCACUAGUUAGUGAUUUUUAGUUGCAUUAAGUACACUCCAUAGCAAAUAUCCCUGAGGACCCUCUUGACUUGAGCAAUAUUCCCACUUUUUCCCUUCUCUAGAAUUGGCCAAGCUUAGACAGAAGUCAAUUUCAAACCCAAAUCCUCAAAAAUAUCGAAGUUCUGUUUCACAAGGAAUGUUUGCUUGUGAAACACUGAACAUAUUGUACUCAAUGAAUAAUUUUAAUUAAUAUGUUGGCCUCAUCUUGGUUUUUAUUUUUUAUGGCAGUGCCAAUAUCUGUUUAUGUGUUCACGUUGCCGCUACCCUACCUUGGUGUUGCAUCAUCCCUUCCUACAGGCUUUGUUGCAGGUGCCAUAAUUCUCGUUAUGGGCUUGCUUAUCUAUGCUUGGACACCAUUAGUUCCCACUAGCGCCUCGCCAUCGCUUCCCAAUUAG
rnacentral:sRNA from 1 species